rnacentral:rRNA from 1 species
GAUGAACGCUGGCGGCGUGCCUAAUACAUGCAAGUCGAGCGAAGCGCGGACGCGUGUGUAUCAUGUGGAUAACCUCCUCUAAGACUGGGAUUACUUCGUGAAACCGGUGCUACCCCGGAUUCUUAUCUAUGGAUCCUCGUUGUAUUAGCUAGUUGGUAAGGUAACGGCUUACAAAGGCAACGAUGCAUAGCCGACCUGAGAGGGUGAUCGGCCACACUGGAACUGAGACACGGUCCAGACUCCUACGGGAGGCAGCAGUAGGGAAUCUUCCGCAAUGGGCGAAAGCCUGACGGAGCAACGCCGCGUGAGUGAUGAAGGUCUUCGGAUCGUAAAACUCUGUUAUUAGGGAAGCGGUACCUAAUGAGAAAGCCACGGCUAACUACGUGCCAGCCGCCGCGGUAAUUC